GCCGGAGUGGUGAAACUGGUAGACACGCAGCCUUGAGGUGGCUGAGAGAGAAAUCUCGUGGGGGUUCGAGUCCCUUCUUCGGCACCA
rnacentral:tRNA from 1 species